rnacentral:rRNA from 1 species
CAGUAGCCGCGGUGAUACGAAGGGUGCAAGCGUUAAUCGGAAUUACUGGGCGUAAAGCGCACGCAGGCGGUUUGUUAAGUCAGAUGUGAAAUCCCCGAGCUUAACUUGGGAACUGCAUUUGAAACUGGCAAGCUAGAGUCUUGUAGAGGGGGGUAGAAUUCCAGGUGUAGCGGUGAAAUGCGUAGAGAUCUGGAGGAAUACCGGUGGCGAAGGCGGCCCCCUGGACAAAGACUGACGCUCAGGUGCGAAAGCGUGGGGAGCAAACAGGAUUAGAUACCCGGGUAGUCCCUGUCUCUUAUAC